rnacentral:lncRNA from 1 species
CCUGACCACUCGGUGCAGCCGGAGACGCCGGGGUCCAGCACGUGCUCGGAAGCCUGCUGCUCCCACAGGGUCCCCAGCACAGGGGAGGAAAUGGAAGCUCGGACAGAUGGACUUGCUACUGGGCACGCAGAAGCCGGCUAGCAUUUGCAGACAGCCUGACCUUGGAGCCUGCGCUUGAACACCUUCCUCCACUGCUUCUGAGAACCCAGCAGUUUCCAACGGCAGCCUCCCUUCAGAAGGAAAAUACACUCUUGUCUUCUUUAA